UAGGGAAUCUUCCGCAAUGGGCGAAAGCCUGACGGAGCAACGCCGCGUGAGUGAUGAAGGUCUUCGGAUCGUAAAACUCUGUUAUUAGGGAAGAACAUAUGUGUAAGUAACUGUGCACAUCUUGACGGUACCUAAUCAGAAAGCCACGGCUAACUACGUGCCAGCAGCCGCGGUAAUACGUAGGUGGCAAGCGUUAUCCGGAAUUAUUGGGCGUAAAGCGCGCGUAGGCGGUUUUUUAAGUCUGAUGUGAAAGCCCACGGCUCAACCGUGGAGGGUCAUUGGAAACUGGAAAACUUGAGUGCAGAAAAGGAAAGUGGAAUUCCAUGUGUAGCGGUGAAAUGCGCAAAGACAUGGAGGAACACCAGUGGCGAAGGCAACUUUCUGGUCUGUAACUGACGCUGAUGUGCGAAAGCGUGGGGAUCAAACAGGAUUAGAUACCCUGGUAGUCCACGCCGUAAACGAUGAGUGCUAAGUGUUAGGGGGUUUCCGCCCCUUAGUGCUGCAGCUAACGCAUUAAGCACUCCGCCUGGGGAGUACGACCGCAAGGUUG
rnacentral:rRNA from 1 species